CUGGGGCGUCGUCAAGCGGUAAGACACGGGAUUUUGGAUCCCGCAUUCGGAGGUUCGAAUCCUCCCGCCCCAGCCC
rnacentral:tRNA from 1 species